rnacentral:rRNA from 1 species
ACGGAAGGCAGCAGUGGGGAAUUUUGGACAAUGGGGGAAACCCUGAUCCAGCCAUGCCGCGUGCGGGAAGAAGGCCUUCGGAUCGUAAACCUCUGUCAGAAGGGAAGAAUGUGCGCCGUGCCAAUCAGCGGCGCAGUGACGGUACCUUCAAAGGAAGCACCGGCUAACUCCGUGCCAGCAGCCGCGGUAAUACGGAGGGUGCAAGCGUUAAUCGGAAUUACUGGGCGUAAAGCGCAUGUAGGCUGUACGGUAAGUCAGUGGUGAAAUCCCUGGGCUCAACCUGGGAACUGCCAUUGAAACUGCCGAACUGGAGUGUGAGAGAGGAUAGCGGAAUUCCAGGUGUAGGAGUGAAAUCCGUAGAUAUCUGGAAGAACAUCAGUGGCGAAGGCGGCUAUCUGGCUCAUUACUGACGCUGAGAUGCGAAAGCGUGGGUAGCAAACAGGAUUAGAUACCCUGGUA